rnacentral:rRNA from 1 species
UACAGAGGUCUCAAGCGUUGUUCGGAUUCAUUGGGCGUAAAGGGCUCGUAGGCGGUUUGUCGCGUCGGGAGUGAAAUCCACUGGCUUAACUGGUGGCUUGCUUUCGAUACGGGCAGACUGGAGGUAUGCAGGGGAGAACGGAAUUCCUGGUGUAGCGGUGAAAUGCGCAGAUAUCAGGAGGAACACCGGUGGCGAAGGCGGUUCUCUGGGCAUGUCCUGACGCUGAGGAGCGAAAGUGUGGGGAGCGAACAGG